rnacentral:rRNA from 1 species
CGUGCCUUAACACAUGCAAGUCGAGCGAGAAGAUUAUGAAAGAUCCCUUCGGGUGAUUGAUUGAUCGGAAAGCGGCGGACGGGUGAGUAACGCGUGAGUAACCUGCCUCAUACACAGGGAUAGCCAUUGGAAACGAUGAUUAAUACCUGAUAAAACCAGUGUAUCACAUGAUGCUAUGGUCAAAGAUUUAUCGGUAUGAGAUGGACUCGCGUCUGAUUAGCUAGUUGGUAAGGUAACGGCUUACCAAGGCGACGAUCAGUAGCCGACCUGAGAGGGUGAUCGGCCACACUGGAACUGAGACACGGUCCAGACUCCUACGGGAGGCAGCAGUGGGGAAUAUUGCACAAUGGGCGCAAGCCUGAUGCAGCAACGCCGCGUGAACGAAGAAGGCUUUCGGGUCGUAAAGUUCUUUUCUUAGGGAAGAAAAAUGACGUACCUAAGAAUAAGCACCGCUAACUA